rnacentral:rRNA from 1 species
UACGAGGGGUGCAAGCGUUGCUCGGAAUUAUUGGGCGUAAAGGGUAGGUAGGUGGUCUCGUUUGUCUGGGGUGAAAGCCUUGAGCUCAACUCAAGAAGUGCCUUAGAAACGGCGAGACUAGAGUCCUGGAGAGGGUCGUGGAAUUCCCGGUGUAGCGGUGAAAUGCGUAGAGAUGUGGAGGAACACCGAUGGCGAAGGCAGCCUCCUGGGCCAGCACUGACGCUCAUGCACGAAAGCGUGGGGAGCAAACAGG